rnacentral:rRNA from 1 species
CGAACGGGUGAGUAAUGCGUGACCAACCUGCCCCAUGCUCCAGAAUAGCUCUUGGAAACGGGUGGUAAUGCUGGAUGCUCCAACUUGACGCAUGUCUUGUUGGGAAAGUGUUUAGUGGCAUGGGAUGGGGUCGCGUCCUAUCAGCUUGUAGGCGGGGUAAUGGCCCACCUAGGCUUCGACGGGUAGCCGGCCCGAGAGGGCGGACGGCCACAUUGGGACUGAGAUACGGCCCAGACUCCUACGGGAGGCAGCAGGG